rnacentral:antisense_RNA from 1 species
GAGUUAUCCUUGGGAUCAGGCUGAGACUAGAGUUCUCCUGAAGCAGCUGUUUUCUGGCCCAGCUUCUUCCCCAGCUCUAUCCUGCUUCCCUCCAUCUCCUAUAGGAUUCUCCUUAGAGCUCUCCCUCCAUUAGUAGUUGUCUUAGGGUCUGUUUCUGGGGAGCCCUGCCUAAGACUCAUGCUACAAGAAGUUAAAUAAGUUUCCCGAAGUCACACAGCUAGCCUUUCAUCCCUUUUCUAGUGAGAGGACGUGGAAUGCAAUCAGACAAGGAUAAGGUUUUUUUGUGAGCUGGCCUUGGAAUUAAACCACCACCAACACACUUCUGGAUUAUCAGAAGGUGGAAGGAGUGCAAAGUAUGGUGAUCAUUCUAUUUACAUUCUAUAAUAGACUGUAAAAAGUGGCCACAAAUUCCUCCUAUCUGCAGGCUUUCCUGACUAAGGGGUGCUUCGACAUCAAAGCUCCUUAGGAUUUACUUCCUGUCUAAAGCAAGGUCAAAAGGCUUUUGGUUUUAAGGAUCUAUGGGUGAAGAGAUAAUGCAGGAAGCCGGAUAUGCUGACAUGUGUGAGAGGCAUC